CUUUCUCUCUGCGAUUUUCAUUUUCAUUUUAAUUUCUUUGUUAUUUAGAUUAAUACUACUUGUAGGUAUGUUUUAUUGAUUUUUUUCUUGUCCUUUUUUCAUCAAAAGCUGUAGAAGAGAUUUGUGUGGAAGUGACGACGAAAAUCAACCUUCUUGCUGAAAAUUAGAAAUCCGUUCUAGGGGGUCUCCUUUGUCUGGUUUGUGUAAAUAUAUAUUGAUCAACAAUCUCUGCUUUACAUUCUCCAUCUCUAUUUCCUCCAAUUUUUCCGUAGCCAUAUGAGUUUUAUGAUGCAUAUUAAUAAUUUGGUGGAAGAAUUUAAAAUUUUUCAAGUAUUGCAAGAUUGUAUUUUGCCGUGUUUUUGGUGAUUCGAAAAGCCUUUGUUAGGUUGCUUAAGUUUUAACUAUUUCCAGAUUAUUCUAGCAUUAAAUUCUAAAUCAAUUAAUUACUUUCCAAUCUAAGUGACAUGGACAUGAUGUGCUUGACAAUUUAGUCUUUGGAUAAUCCAUAAUUGUGUUUUAUCCUCGCCGACAGGGUCUAGGCCAUCUUCUCCAGGGUCUCAUUGUGAAAAUGAAGGUUUUAACCGUGCUUAUAACUUAUAAGCACAGUCCUUCCUAUAGCUCAUUAUAUAAGUAUUCUAGAAUGCCUUCUAUUUAUUGGCAAGUAGUGUGAGAUUUAAUUUGUUGGGUCAUUUGUUUCAUUCAUAAUCUGAUAAACGGGUUUCUCAUUCUCUAUCGAAAUACAUAAAGAUGGUAAUUUUCAAAUUUGAUGCUAUUUUCCUGUUAUGACCGAAUAAUAUGAAGCUUUUAUAUAUAUAAUAAGAUGAAACAAAUAAUUUUGAUGCAUCAAUGUACAAGAAUUAAAUUACCUAAUAAAUUUUAUGCUAGAGUAGUACUUUGUGAGGAAUGCUUUUUAUUUUUGGAAGUUUGAAAUUGAUAAGUAAUAGCCAACAAAUUGGAAUUCAUUUAUCAACAGAUUUUUUUUCUUCCAUUUGAACUUGAAGUAUGCGGUUAUUUUAUUUCAUUAAUAAUUAUUUUCAAUAAUAGAUUCAUGCAUUUUACCUUCUUCAUCUUUGCUGUUUAAAGCCUUUCUUUGUAAAAAUUUGAGAUUGCCAAUUAUGAGAAAGAAUUGGAGCACAUCAAGCUAUGACAUGACAUGAAUAUGUUGCAUUAUUAAGAAAGUAAAUUCAAGUUAAUUAAGUUUUAACAAUCAAUAAAGUAGAUUCAUACAUGAACUGAUGAUGUAAAGUUUUUAUAUUUUCAUCAAUCCGUGGAGAGCAAGUAGUGGGUUUUUCCUGCGGCGCUUGGAUUUAUCGAGGGUUUACAAGUUAAAUUAAAUGGCACAACGUUUGAUCUUAUCAUAACAUUACUCAGAUAUUCCAUAUGAACAAUUGUAUCUGGGUAACAAGGUUGGUAUUAUUUAUGUUAUGUUAGGUAUAAAUAAAUGUUGCCUUCUUUGGCUAAUAAAUUUCUCUUCUACUUGAGUAUAGUCUAUUGAAAUGACAGGUAUUCUAAUUUAAAUUGAAAACUAAAUUAUAAUGAGUGCCAAAAUUACCAAAUUUUGUAUUAUAAUGCAUGAUAAUUAGUAUUUUCAGUUUAUUAUAAUCACAUCUCAUAUAAUAUUUUCAUCAACAGACAUCACCGGCAUGAAAGAUGGCAAGCUAGGAUCGGAAGAGUUGCUGCUAAUAAAGAUUUAUAGUUGGGAACUUUCAAUUUCAGAUUCCAAACACACAAGAGGAAGCAAUAGAGGCUUACGAUAUUGCAUCCAUUAAAUUUCGAGUACUAAAUGCAGUGACUAAUUCAAAAUAAACAGAUAUGAUGUGAAAAGCAUAAUGGAAGAAGCACGUUGCCAAGUGGCAGUGUUGCUAACAUGGCUGGGCUAUGAUGUGCUAGAAUGACCAAGAGUCUGAGGGAGUGGAUUAAGCAGAAAACAAUGACUUCACUGGGUCCCACUAUCUUUGUUUUGUUUUGUUAGAAUGGGCGAGUAGCUUUCUUGGAUUCUCCUCUAAUUAUUUUUGAACACUUCUGUAUCUGAUGAAGGAAGAGAUGAAAAAUAAAACCAUCGAGUUGCAAUCUAAAACUUCAUAUCACCAGAUUGUUAAAGAGGGCUAGUAAUCAAGGGAUGGGACAAUGGUGUCAAAACGAUGGAGGAGGGUGAAAAUGCCAUUUUUACCAUACAUCAGUUGACAAAUGGUGAAUCUUGUUCUCCUCUUACUCUUCCUCCAAAUGCAACUCUACAGUUGAUGUUGAUUUUCUGUACCGAGGGAGAGAAAUAGCAGAAUCCCAAGGAUCAUGAUGAAGUGGUUGGUACAUGAAACACCCUCUUCAAAGUUGGUACGAUGAUGAUUCGUUGAAUAAUAUUAACUGUUAUUUUAUUUUGCUAUCCGGUGAAAUAUGAGGCUCAAUUGGAAGAUGGUACCAUAAUCUUAAAAUCAGACGGAACUGAAUUCGCUGUUAAAUAAGGUCACUUUCUCCUGCUCGCGCCAAGGCUGCGAAGAUGAUGAAGAAGGGUGAAAAGGCUCUUCUCACAGUCAAGUCAUAAUAUGGAUUUGGCAAGAAGAAUAAACCAGCCUCUGAUGGUGCUUCAGCUAUCUCACCAAAUGCAACAUUGAAGUCAAAGGCCUUGGUGCCAAUUGUUUACUUAGUUCGGAAGCUUUGACUGCUUUUCAAAAUCUUGGUGUGUAUCACUAUUCUACAUCUCAAGGAAUUUCUAAGAUUUAUUCUCGGUAUUUAAUUUUAAUGGAUGUUCAUUCGCUGCGUAUUGCUUAAAAUGUUAGGCACAAAACAUGAACAACUGAAAAAAGCAGCAGUAUAAAGAAGCUAAUUGAAUACAAAAUAUUUGCAUUAUUUAAUCAUUCACUGCUGUGCUUUAAUGCAGAAGCUAUUUGUUCUUUAAACUAUACCUAUAGUAACCUGUGUCUUUGACGGUUGCAAUGUCUGCAUAUUAGUCUAUGGGCAAACUGAUACUGGCAAGACAUAUACCAUGGAAGGACUAAUGGCAGUGUUUUUGAGAGACAUAUACCAUUAGUUCUGAAUAGAAGCAUUUCUGAUGGCAGUGUUUAUGAAACAACCAUAGAGUGGCUUUAUAAGAGUUGUAGGUGGAGAUAAAAUUUUCCUUGAGAAGGUUAGAGACGUUGCUGAUAGACUGCUGCCUACAUGGAACACUCCUUCGGGCAUCCCAUAUAAUAUUGUUCACUUGGCUCGUGGAAAUGUACAUAAUCCAGGGUCGACUGGGUCUCAGGUUGAUGAAGCAACCACUGUAGAGGACACCAAGACUGAAGACACUGAAAUGGAGAUUGAAACAGAUGUGGGCAAACUGAUGAAGUCGUCUGGAGAGAAGCGGAACAGGGUGAGGAAUUCAAAAGGUCCUUCAAGUUUUAAGGCCACAGCAAAAGCUUCAGCUAGGAUGAAGGUAGGAGAGAAUGUUUUGUUUUACCUGUUUCAAAAGUAGGGGCCUUGUUCUAUGUGAUCGUCGGUAAGUUAUAAAAAUUGUGUUCAACCUUCAGAAUUCUAGGCUGAAAAUGAAAUAAAAACAAUAUUCUAAACAAUAAUUUCUUGACUAUAUGAGAUCGUCGGUAAGUUAUAAAAAUUGUGUUCAACAUUCAGAAUUCUAGGUUGAAAAUGAAAUAAAAACAGUAUUCUAAACUAUAAUUUCUUGGCUAUAUGUGAUCGUCGGUAAGUUAUAAAAAUUGUGUUCAACGUUUAGAAUUCUAGGUUGAAAAUGAAAUAAAAACAGUAUUCUAAACUAUAUU